rnacentral:rRNA from 1 species
UACGGGGGGGGGCAAGCGUUGUUCGGAAUUACUGGGCGUAAAGGGCUCGUAGGUGGCCAACUAAGUCGGACGUGAAAUCCCUCGGCUUAACCGGGGAACUGCGUCCGAUACUGGUUGGCUUGAGUUUGGGAGAGGGAUGCGGAAUUCCAGGUGUAGCGGUGAAAUGCGUAGAUAUCUGGAGGAACACCGGUGGCGAAGGCGGCGUCCUGGACCAACACUGACACUGAGGAGCGAAAGCCAGGGGAGCAAACGGG